GCAAGAUUAUAUAUUAAGAGUUGGUAUAGACAUCCAUGUUCUGGCACAUUUUCCUCUAACCUCAAUCCGAAUUGAAACACUGGCUAUAUUGCAGUUCAACAUAUCUUGUCAUCUACAGAUUCAACUAAUCCAAUAUCUAGCUACAUCCUCGACUCAACUAAUCUAUGCCUUGAUAAACAUCCUAAUGUCUAAAAGUUCGUCAUACCUUGAACCAUACCAAAGAAGAUAAAAAUGAUCAUUAAUCAAUACCACUAAAGCAAGCAGAGAAUGUAGUGCAAUUGGUACAAUUUACUUAACAGAAGAAAAAAGAAAAAGAAUGAUGACUACUUGACAAUAAGAUUUAAACUAGAAAGAAUAGUAUUGAACACCAGUCUCCGCUGAGAACUUGAGAUAUAAUGUAAUGGUUACAAGAAAGAGGAGAUAUAGGU
rnacentral:misc_RNA from 1 species